rnacentral:rRNA from 1 species
UGGGGAAUAUUGGACAAUGGGGGCAACCCUGAUCCAGCAAUGCCGCGUGUGUGAAGAAGGUCUUCGGAUUGUAAAGCACUUUCGACGGGGACGAUGAUGACGGUACCCGUAGAAGAAGCCCCGGCUAACUUCGUGCCAGCAGCCGCGGUAAUACGAAGGGGGCUAGCGUUGCUCGGAAUGACUGGGCGUAAAGGGCGUGUAGGCGGUUUACACAGUCAGAUGUGAAAUCCCCGGGCUUAACCUGGGAGCUGCAUUUGAUACGUGUAGACUAGAGUGUGAGAGAGGGUUGUGGAAUUCCCAGUGUAGAGGUGAAAUUCGUAGAUAUUGGGAAGAACACCGGUGGCGAAGGCGGCAACCUGGCUCAUGACUGACGCUGAGGCGCGAAAGCGUGGGGAGCAAACAGGAUUAGAUACCC